rnacentral:rRNA from 1 species
UACGUAGGUGGCAAGCGUUGUUCGGAAUUAUUGGGCGUAAAGGGCGCGUAGGCGGUGUGUCGCGUCGGCCGUGAAAACCUGCAGCUUAACUGUGGGCUUGCGGUCGAUACGGGCAUCACUGGAGUUCGGCAGGGGAGACUGGAAUUCCUGGUGUAGCGGUGAAAUGCGCAGAUAUCAGGAGGAACACCGGUGGCGAAGGCGGGUCUCUGGGCCGAUACUGACGCUGAGGAGCGAAAGCGUGGGGAGCGAACAGG